AAGCUCGUAGUUGAAUUUCGGGAUCAAAUUGUCGGUCGUGCCUCGGUACGUACUGGCGUUAUUGGUUCCUCCCUUCUGAAGAACCGCGAUGUCAUUAAUUUGGUGUCGCGGGGAAUCAGGACUGUUACUUUGAAAAAAUUAGAGUGUUUAAAGCAGGCUCGCGCUUGAAUACAUUAGCAUGGAAUAAUGAAAUAGGACGUUUGAUUCUAUUUUGUUGGUCUCUAGGAUCGACGUAAUGAUUAAUAGGGAUAGUUGGGGGCAUUAGUAUUCAAUUGUCAGAGGUGAAAUUCUUGGAUUUAUUGAAGACUAACUACUGCGAAAGCAUUUGCCAAGGAUGUUUUCAUUAAUCAAGAACGAAAGUUAGGGGAUCGAAGACGAUCAGAUACCGUCGUAGUCUUAACCAUAAACUAUGCCGACUAGGGAUCGGAUGAUGUUAAUUUUUUAAUGACUCAUUCGGCGCCUUACGGGAAACCAAAGUGUUUGGGUUCCGGGGGGAGUAUGGUCGCAAGGCUGAAACUUAAAGGAAUUGACGGAAGGGCACCACCAGGCGUGGAGCCUGCGGCUUAAUUUGACUCAACACGGGGAAACUUACCAGGUCCAGACAUAGCAAGGAUUGACAGACUGAGAGCUCUUUCUUGAUUCUAUGGGUG
rnacentral:rRNA from 1 species